AUUUUAUUCAAACUCCAAAAAUAAAUAAUCUAAUGAGAAUGUUCUAUACUCAGCCUUCCAACCACAUUCGUUGGUAAAAAUAUACCAGAACUUCUAGCCACACACAUUGGCAAAAUAGAUAUCAACCAUCAGAAAAAAAUUUCCAUAUCCUUCAUUAGCAAAACAAAUAUCAUGAACUCCGGCCAAAAUCAUUGGAAUUCCAAUCACUAUUACUCACCACUAUAUAUUAAAACAAUUAUCUGCAAUACCGUUACCAUUGAACGAAUCAAAAUCUCAUUCUAUGAUUUCCUUCAUAUCCGCAAAUAAACUAAAUUACCCAUAGUAAAUUUAAAAGCCUUUUAAAUCUUUCUUUCCGAUCAAAUAAAUUAGUGACUCGACUUCCAGAGUACUAUUCACAUUCCAUCAACCAAAGAAGAGAAAUUUAAAUAUAUUACAACUCUAUUGGCCAACAAAACUUAAUCACAUAGCCAUGAGAAUACGUGCUCUUCAUCAGUUUUGUUCGCAAUAUCAAAUCCAACAAUGACAACUCAUGACUAUGGCAACUAAACCAAUCAAAUUUGUAAUUACAAUCUUUCCCCAUCAAUUCUUUUUAUCAAACGUAAAAAAUAAAUAAAUAAAUAAAAAAAAAACACACAACUGGAAAAUCGUUUAUAUUAAACGAACUCGAAAUCUCACUCUAUAAUUUUAUUCAUGUCCACCAAUAAUUCAAUAAAUGAAGAAUCUUCAUGAUCUUUUCACUAUUCUAGUUAUGAUGAACAAAUCAUAACCUCAGUUUAUGAUUUCAUUCUAGUUCGAUAAAUCAUCAUAACUUUCAUAAAUAUUAGAAUUUCCAACCAUAAUUAUCAUUGACAAAACAAUGAUUUCAUCCCUUUUUUUGUUUUUUUUUAUCCCAAUCAGUGACUAGUAGACGGGAAAAGACUGUAUUAUACUUGGCCAAUACACAUCACACUUUUUUAUCACUUCAAUAAGUCAUUCUCACAGCCCACACAUGGAGCUUCUCCCCGAAAACACUGGGUCUUUGUGCCCAUUCAACCAUUCCUUUACAUUUCACGGGUCAUUUCGCCCAAUUCAUCGUUCACGAGCCACUUUGCCCAAUCACACAUCCUCGGGCCUUUUUGCCCAAAUCAACAUCCACAGGCCAUUUUUGCCCAAUCAAACAUUCCUCCCAUUCCACAGGCUAUCACGCCCAGAUCGACAUCUACGGGCUUUUUUCGCCCAAAUCAAACAUUCCUCAAUGGCACAGGUAUAAUAUGACUUUUUCAUCUACUUGUCACAAUUCCACAAUUAUCUUAUUUAAAAAAUUUUAUAACACAUAACAUAAUAACAACCCAAUUCAAGGUUAAUAUGAAACUUAAAUCAAAAGCUCAUAUUCUAAGCUAUACAUAAAAUAUGACAUUUUAAAAUUUCCUACUCCUACUCAAUUCAAUUCACUUCAUAGUGAUUCACAAUAUAGACAUUUCACAUAAAGUCCUUCACAUUCAUAAAAUUUAUAAAAAUACUGCAAAUAUCAAUGAAAUUCACAAUUCACAUCCACAAACUCAAUAAUAAUAUCUCACAAUGUAAGAUAGGAUCAUUUGCUCUGAUACCAUUUGUAACGCCCCACCCCCGAAAUACUUAUUUUCAGGAAAUAAUUCCGAUAAUAGGCCCAAUUUAAACUCUUGUUUGAUUUACUACCAUUAAUCACGAUUCUUUACUUCAAUUCCUUAAUUCCUCACAAAACUAUAUCUAUAUUUUAAUUAUCAAAAUAUACGAUUAAAUUAUCAAUUUAAUCCCCAAAUUUCUUUUGUUAAAACAAUUUCUCAACAAAAAGAUUAAUUCUCGAUUAUUUAGGGCUGCAUCUAACCACUGUUAGACUACCUACGUACCCUUGAGCGAGAUCAAGCCCUUCAUAGUUCAACAUUCAUUCUUUUAUCCAUUUCCAAAAAUAUUCUAGUAACGGAAAUAUUCAACAUUAGCUUUCAUGAUCGAAUCACACCAAAUGGGUACUAUAACGCCCCAGAAAUUCUGUACGAAAACUAUUCACGAUGAUAGCCCCAAAAUAAAAUCAUGAUUAAUUAAUAUUCUAUUAACCACCAUAAAUCAAAUUCGAUCAUUUCAUGGCUAAAUAUAAAUAUAAAUAUAUAUAUAUAUAUAUAUAUAUAAUCACAUUUAAAUGGAAAUGACAUUUAUAUAACCAUUUCAUAUUCACAAAUGAUAUUAAUGUAAGAAAUCAAGGUAAUAACCAUAUCACAUAAAUUCGAGUCACUCUCUAACCAAUGUAGACCCACAAGACUUCACUUAGUAUCCCGUAGUACUAAAUUUAAAAUUCAGAACGUUAUGAGCCAAGUUUACCAAAAGUCAACUCUCGAUCAACGAUAGGGGCCACAACCCUACAGAAUUCGAUCUAGAAGAUCCACCGAUCAUAUUUCAGAUCUAUAACUUCCUAAGGUCUGCAUUAUUCUUAUAGAACGAUAUACUAAAUUCUCAUAGCGAUCCAACGGUCGGAUCUCCGCCAAUUAUUAAGAUUAGGUGGCAGUCAACAAUUUAUUUUACAAACUUAGAAAUCCAAUUCGGAAAGAUCCAUACUUCGGAUUUCCAAUCCGUCAGUUCCUAAUAUCCUCAAAUAUUAUGUUCUAUAAUGCAUUAGAGUUUGGUGACGAUCCAACGGUCAGAUCAUCAAUUUAAAUAAUAAUCAAGUAAUGCACCUUAAUGAAACUAGGUUCACAAUAAUCAAAUCGCAUACUACGGGUGUCAAAUCUGAGAUCAAGAUAUCAAUUUAUAAUAAAAUAGCAUCGGUAGCCCACUGGCCACGCACUGUCGCAAGUGGCGAUCGGCCGCCUCGACUCGCAGGAAAAUUCAAAUAUUUCCAAAAAUUACCAAAUUUUACAGGAAAGUAGAUCUUAGUGAGGGGAAAAAUUUUCAUACAUGUGACUAAGCCCAAUUUGGCCGGGAAUAGCUCCAAUUUUCCUCGAACACACCAGAAUCCUAAAAUUUGGAUGUUCUUCAAUUCGACCAAUCCGCAACACCACUGCCCCUAAAACUGUUUGGGCUUUGUUCCUGGCCUUAGGAGAAGUGGUUUGAUGGUGGCGGUGGUCGACAUUACUUUCACGAUUGUCGAAUUUCCACCGUGGCAUUCUCGGAACCCACGGGUUCCGUUCUGCCCGAAUUCAAGCUCAAACCCAAUAAAAUUUGGGUGGAAAUGGAAAAGGGAAGAGGCUGAUUGAUUUGAGGGUGGUGGUGAGGUUUAUAUUGCUAGAAAAUUGACGAAAAAUCAUCAGGAAGGUGGCGGAACGGGUCGGGUCUGAUGGGUUAUUCAGGUCAACCCGUUAACCCUUUCUUUCUUCUUUCCCAUCCCCUCAUUUCCCUCUUCCUGAUUGGUCAAUUCCCAAUCCCCCUUUCUCCUUUCUCUCCGUCCCUCUUCAUCACAGCCACACACAUGGCACUCCCAUUGCUUCAGAUUUUCUGGAGCCUUCCAAAUUAAUGGCAAAAUGACUAUUUUGCCCUCAACUUCAAUCGUUAAUAACUGCUUCGUUAUAACUCCGUUUUACUAACGGUUUUCGCCUACGCGCUCGUAGGAUCGUUCUUUAUUUAAUUAUAUCAAGAAAUCCGAUAAAAUAUAUGAGGAUAAAAUACGUCCUCGUAUAAUUACGUUAAGCUAACUAAGGCAUUUUCAUCUUUUUCACUUAUCGAUAAAUUUUACGACAUAAAUUAUAAUAAUUUCUGGAAACAAACUUUAAAAGUUCUCAAUUCAAUUUUUCAUAAUCAUAAAUCGAUUUAUUUUCGAUUUUUCUCCACAUAUUCAUAUGUUUAAAUUUUUAGGGUAUUACAACAAAAAUGGUGGAAGGGACGUUUCUAUCCUUCAUUUGCCAUCUAUAUUCAGAACUUUUUUGUGAGGUUGAGUCAGGUGAGUGGGUCAUCGUGAAAUGAGUAUGAAGUCAUUGGAGCAUUUCGAGCUAAAUAAUAGUAAUUGUCAUGUGGAAGGAAAUUUACAUACAACAUUGAUUUAUAGUGUGUGAAGUUAUGAUAGUGGUGUAACUGAUAGAAGUCACUCACGUUUUGAGGCAAUCAAGUCAGAAAAAAAUUAAUGAAAGGAAAUUAUUUUCCCACAUCCAUUAUCUCCAAUGUAGACUCAUUUUAUUUCUAGUCUUUAAAUUAAAAAAAAAUAAUCAAAAGAGAAUUAAUGAACAAACCAAACAAGAGUGCUUGUGCAGAAAAUUAAACCCGGGUUGCGAAAAUAAUUUUUUAAAAUUAGAAUAUAUAAUCUAGCACUUAACGUCCGUUAGUUAAAGUUUAAGACCAUCAAUGCACAAAUAGCUAGGUUGAUAUUUGGUGGGGGUCGCACUCCAGCCUUUGGGGUUUGGAACCAAUUAGAGUGGAGAUGUUGUGACCGAGUGUACUGCAAUGCCAGAGGUCAUGAUACCGACGACCGUGUUUUUUUAUUGGAAAGUCCAAAGUUCAAAAUAAAUGACAAAUACUAGAGUCUACAAUAAAGACAUAUUUGUACUUUAUAGCACUGCAUCAGGUCGUACAAUUGCCAGUUGCAUCGAUGGUGUGAAUUUACACUCAAUGCCAACACAGACCCGAUAAACAGAUCGUGUUUAUUGUGUUUGUAUCGUUUUUAUGUCAUAGUCAUUAUUUUAACAUGAUGUAUUAUGUCAAACUCGUUAUCUUAAUGAUUUUUUAAUAGGUGAUCUAAUAACGAUCCGAUUCAUUAACAAGUCGUGUCAUUUCGUGUUCGGUUAAGGGGUAUUGAAAUUUUCAUGUCUAAUGUAUAAAUCUGGUAAACGAUUUCUUCGGGUUCUUAAUGGGUGAUUGGAGAACGACCCCACUUGUUCACAAGUUCUUAAUGAGUGAUCUGAUAAUGACCCGACUUGUUAAAGAUUGACCCAAAACCUGUUAUCUUUCAUGUCAUUCUUAUUAAGUUAAUGAAUAAAUUUGGUAAUGUCUCCCAAGUUAAUAAUGAUCUUCCAAUUUGCUCUUCAAACUUUUAAUUUGAUUUCAACGGCUUAAUCUUUUAUAACUCUUCAAUUUGCGUUUAUAUGUUAAAUUUUCUCAUAUUUUCUUUGUUAGCUGCGGCACUUAAAUUGAUGCAUCUUAAAAGAUUAUGUAGCAAUUUAAGGGGAAAAAAGUAAGAUAAGGCCUUAAGUUCAUGAGACAUUGCUAAAGUCUACAAUAUAGUCUAAUGAAUCUGAUUCAUUUGUACAGAUGAACCAUGUCAAUCACCUACUAGUAUGCUCACAUUCAUUGAAAAUUCUAGGGUCAUCUUAUAUGAUUGAAUACACAUGACAUUUUGGCACACUGUAGCUCGUAUUUUUGACGAAAUUAGAGCUUUUGCACCUACUAGUAUCAUUUGCAAAUACCUUUGCUUGUUCGGUUUGCAAUUUAUGUUGCUACAACUUACGAGGAGCUCUUGAUUUUAUUAAAGAUGUGUUAAUUAGUUGUAGUAUGUGAGAUACUCUUUUUGCAGCCGAGUAAAACAUAAAAUUUACACAAAGAUGUUUAUGACACACAUGUACAUUGUCCCAAUAACAUUCUAUAUCGAUCAAUAUUAGUACAUGUGUAAUUUCUCUUUAUAUGAUGUUGUAUAUUAUUAAAAUAAGACACCACAAUGAUUGAUGUUGUAUAUUAUUAAACUAAGACACCGCAAUGAUAAUAUAAUUGUAUAGUUCAGUUGCUCUCUUAAAACAAAUAGUCCUUACGUGUUGAAAAUGAAUCUCACAUUGGUGGGAGGAGAAACUUUGAAUGGGCUUAUAAGCAAGGAAGAAAAUAUCGGUAAUAUCGGAAAUAUCGGUAGUCC
rnacentral:lncRNA from 1 species